UUCAAGGUAGUGGAACUAAAACCAGAAACAAAGGACUACAGAGAGGUGGCAGAAAGGUUUCUGAAGACUACUCAGCUUCUAAAAAUUGAAAAGGUAUUUAAUGUGAUGUUUAUGACCUUCAAACCUGUUGCAAAAUAUCUCCACUCUCAAGAAGAAGCUACUUCUGACACCAAGAAUUAUGAUGCUGAAAACAAGCCAACUGCAAACUUUGGAAAUGGAACUUACUUGCUGUUAAUGCCUGCUAUUCUGCCCACAAUGCCUAUUCUAAACUAGAUGUGGAUGGAAAGAAGUACACGUACGUGGCUCGAGUACUUGUUGGAGAAUAUUCUCAAGGACAAGAGGAUCAAUUACUCCAUCAGCAAAAAGUGCUAGCAGCUCCAUGGAUCUGUUUGAUAGUUCAACUGAUAAUGUAACCAAUCCAUCCAUGUUUAUCAUAAUUAAUGACAUUCAAGCUUACCCAGAAUACCUUACCACUUUCACUAGAUGAGCAUUUUGAUUGCAGCCAAGUUUUCAUGUCUCUUCAUUUUAUAAAUCUGUCCUGCACAUUACAAUAUAUAU